rnacentral:rRNA from 1 species
AUACGGAGGAUCCGAGCGUUAUCCGGAUUUAUUGGGUUUAAAGGGAGCGUAGGUGGACAGUUAAGUCAGUUGUGAAAGUUUGCGGCUCAACCGUAAAAUUGCAGUUGAUACUGGCUGUCUUGAGUACAGUAGAGGUGGGCGGAAUUCGUGGUGUAGCGGUGAAAUGCUUAGAUAUCACGAAGAACUCCGAUUGCGAAGGCAGCUCACUGGACUGCAACUGACACUGAUGCUCGAAAGUGUGGGUAUCAAACAGGAUUAGAUACCCUGGUAGUCCACACAGUAAACGAUGAAUACUCGCUGUUUGCGAUAUACGGUAAGCGGCCAAGCGAAAGCAUUAAGUAUUCCACCUGGGGAGUACGCCGGCAACGGUGAAACUCAAAGGAAUUGACGGGG